rnacentral:rRNA from 1 species
GACCUUCGGGUCGUAAACUCCUUUCGAUCGAGACGAAUGGCCUCCGGGUGAAUAAUCCGGAGGAGUGACGGUACCGAGAGAAGAAGCCCCGGCUAACUCCGUGCCAGCAGCCGCGGUAAUACGGGGGGGGCAAGCGUUGUUCGGAAUUACUGGGCGUAAAGGGCUCGUAGGUGGCCAACUAAGUCAGACGUGAAAUCCCUCGGCUUAACCGGGGAACUGCAUCUGAUACUGGAUGGCUUGAGUUCGGGAGAGGGAUGCGGAAUUCCAGGUGUAGCGGUGAAAUGCGUAGAUAUCUGGAGGAACACCGGUGGCGAAGGCGGCAUCCUGGACCGACACUGACGCUGAGGAGCGAAAGCCAGGGGAGCAAACGGGAUUAGAUGCCCCGGUAGUCCUGGCCCUAAACGAUGAAUGCUUGGUGUGGCGGGUAUCGAUCCCUGCCGUGCCGAAGCUAACGCGAUAAGCAUUCCGCCUGGGGAGUACGGUCGCAAGGCUGAAACUCAAA